AACAACCCCGGCUUUUAUAGUCUCACCUCAAUUGGUCAAGACCACCACAAAAGAAAACACCCCCCCUCAAUGAAAAUGGUUCCAUCUAAUCAUUCAAAAUGGCUGCCAAGCAGCUUAACAGACAUUUGUCCAAUCGUGACCUGAGCAGGAAGUAGACUGAAGGUUGAAACCCUCUUGCAAUCGUCUCAGGCGGUCAAAGGCCUUCUGCUGAUCGCCUCAUUAAUGUAGCUUCACAUGCAUCAACAUCAAGGUAAACCUCUGAGCUCCGAAAAGAUGGAUCUUCUUUAUUGAAGAACUCUGGCAGCACUGGGACAGAGAGAAGCUGCAGAAACAGCAGGAGCGUGUGGAUCAGUGCACAGAGGAGAACUCACACUGAGCCCGCUCUCCAAAAACGGGGCCCACAUCUUCACGCCGUAUUUAGGAUGCUGUGAAAUCGGAGGGGAUGUUUGCAAUCUGGCAUUAAAUUCAGGGUCAUGUCAGUUUUGACUUUAAGCUUAUUGGCCUUUUUAUUUCUGCCCUUUGGUGGCUCUGCACGUCACAUGGUACACAGUUUAAAAGUAAAGUCUCCUUCUGUUAUUUGAGAGAUUUUUAGUUUUACUAAUUUAUGGAGCAUUUUUCAUGAUGGAUCUGAAUUCAUUUUAUGAGUAUUUGUUCUUAAAAUUAUGGUAUCAAUGUCAAGAAAAUAAAAAAAAUGUACACUAAAGAAAGACUGUAAUAAAGUUAAGCUAAUGUUAAAGUCCCAUUCA